ensembl:lincRNA
GUUCUUCACUCAGAAUAACUAGUUGCCAAAAAAAUUCUAGACAUUAAAGAAGAAGAUGGAUGUAAAUUAUAAUUUUGGGGAUCUCUUGCUUCUCCAAAUUUUAGAGCAGUCUAGAGUAAGAGCUGUUUCCUGGCAGAGGAUAAAGUAUCCAGGUCACAUUGAAGAGACAUGUGAGGACUCCAAUGGAGAACAAUUUGAGAGUGAGAAACCAGGUGAGGUGUUUCUCACUCUAGGAAAGUUAGUGAAUCUACCAUAGCUGGGAGACGAUG